GUGGCGCAAGGGUGCGUAGCACGUGGGUAAUUUGCCGUGAAGCCCGGAAUAACUCGCUGAAAGGCGAGCUAAUACCGGAUGUGGAGUUUGAGAGGCAUCUCUCGAACCUUAAAGCUGGGGACCGCAAGGCCUGGCACUUCACGAUGAGCCCGCGGCCUAUCAGCUAGUUGGUGAGGUAACGGCUCACCAAGGCUAAGACGGGUAGCUGGUCUGAGAGGACGACCAGCCACACUGGAACUGAGACACGGUCCAGACACCUACGGGUGGCAGCAGUCGAGAAUUUUUCACAAUGGGCGAAAGCCUGAUGGAGCGACGCCGCGUGGGGGAUGAAUGGCUUCGGCCCGUAAACCCCUGUCAUUUGUGAACAAACCUCGUCAUUUAAAAGAUGACGAGCUGAUUGUAACGGAAGAGGAAGGGACGGCUAACUCUGUGCCAGCAGCCGCGGUAAUACAGAGGUCCCAAGCGUUGUUCGGAUUCACUGGGCGUAAAGGGUGCGUAGGUGGCCGGGUAAGUCUGAUGUGAAAUCUCCAAGCUCAACUUGGAAACUGCACCGGAUACUAUCCGGCUAGAGGAUCGGAGGGGAGACUGGAAUACUUGGUGUAGCAGUGAAAUGCGUAGAUAUCAAGUGGAACACCAGUGGCGAAGGCGAGUCUCUGGACGAUUCCUGACACCGAGGCACGAAAGCCAGGGGAGCAAACGGGAUUAGAUACCCCGGUAGUCCUGGCCGUAAACGGUGCGCAUUUGCUGUAAGAGGAAUCGACCCCUUUUGUGGCGAAGCUAACGCGUUAAAUGCGCCGCCUGGGAAGUACGGUCGCAAGAUUAAAACUCAAAGAAAUUAACGGAGGCGCGCGAUGGUUGGCUCAGACCGGUCGGAAAUCGGUCGUUGAGUGCAAUGGCAGAAGCCAGCCUGACUGCAAGACUGACAAGUCGAGCAGAGUCGAAAGACGGUCAUAGUGAUCCGGUGGUCCCAAGUGGGAGGGCCAUCGCUCAACGGAUAAAAGGUACGCUGGGGAUAACAGGCUGAUGAUGCCCAAGAGUCCAUAUCGACGGCAUCGUUUGGCACCUCGAUGUCGGCUCAUCUCAUCCUGGGGCUGGAGCAGGUCCC
rnacentral:rRNA from 1 species